CUGACUUCUGUUGAAGCAUCAGCCUGACGGCUGUAGUCGGGCACAUCUUCCUGUUCAUUUUCAUUGUCUCGCUCUCUUUCUUGUUCAACAAGUGGCAACCUUACAAGAUCUGAUUCAGGUGCCAGAUUACACCAUUCGUCAGUCACACCUCUGUUCUGCUCAUAUUCCUCAACAGCGCUCUCGAUCUCCUCAUACUCUGGUGUUUCAGGUCUGGCUUUGUAUUUGUCAUUCAAAGAUGUCAUCCAAACAUUGGAAGACUCAGGUGUUGUGUUGUCCAGAACUGACAGGGGACGACUCAUUUUCACAGGAUUAUCAUCAGUUGGUAUGAAUAUUACAGCACGUGAACAUUGCUUCAUGUGAAGACCACAUGCACGAGCAACACACUCCUGUGCACUGAUCUCUCGCUUCUUUGAAUAUGCCUGCAUGACGGCUCUCAUUUCAUCACACUCAUUUACACUGUCCUUCUGGGAGCUCUCAAUGACAGUUUUCAGGUACUCAGACAGCCCGCCCUCUUUUUUUGAUAUAUAUUUCAUUAAAUAAUUUGCAGCGCCGAAAGCAUCUAAAACAAAGCUUAUGUCGAUAUUACUGUUCCAGGCUUCAAGCAGAUGUGGAUUAUAGCCAUUUAUCCAAGAGUCUUUUGGAUCACGCUUUAGUAUGAUCGUACUCCUUGUGUUCAUUUUAUUCAGGUAUCGCUCAUAUUCUGCAUGUGUCAACUUGCAUCUUGCCAAGAGCUGCUCUAAACUCAUGGAAGCAGUUUCAGGCUCAUUCAGCAGCUGGUUCAGUGGUCUGAGCUUGUUCUUUGCUGUUUCUACUUCCAGUUCAUCAUCCUCACUGGGUCUUGUGAUCAUUGUCUCAUUGCAGGGUGGUUUGGGAAAACCAAAACGGCACCCGGAGCUUAAACUCCUAAAGCACGUCUUUGUGUGGUUCUUACUGUGUUUUUGCACUUCUGUUACUUUCUU
ensembl:lncRNA